UCUAUACGACGCCGUUGACUUUUUCCAACGUUUGACCAUUCGUCUUAUUCAAAAAAUUUAUAUAAUUAUCAUUUAUUUUAUUGUGAUUUGAUUCGUCAUCAAAUGUUCUUUAAGCAUGACAUAAAUAUUUUCAUAUUCGCACUAAAAUUUUGAAUAAAACGAAUAGUCAAACGUUGGUCGAAAAGUUAAUGGUG
rnacentral:pre_miRNA from 1 species